rnacentral:rRNA from 1 species
GGGGAAUAUUGCACAAUGGACGAAAGUCUGAUGCAGCAACGCCGCGUGGAGGAUGACACAUUUCGGUGCGUAAACUCCUUUUAUAUAAGAAGAUAAUGACGGUAUUAUAUGAAUAAGCACCGGCUAACUCCGUGCCAGCAGCCGCGGUAA